rnacentral:rRNA from 1 species
UACGUAGGGAGCAAGCGUUGUUCGGAUUUACUGGGCGUAAAGGGCGCGUAGGCGGCGCGGUAAGUCACUUGUGAAAUCUCUGAGCUUAACUCGGAACGGUCAAGUGAUACUGCAGUGCUAGAGUGCGGAAGGGGCAAUCGGAAUUCUUGGUGUAGCGGUGAAAUGCGUAGAUAUCAAGAGGAACACCUGAGGUGAAGACGGGUUGCUGGGCCGACACUGACGCUGAGUGCGCGAAAGCCAGGGGAGCAAACGGG